CGCAUCUGUGCAUGCAGCAUAUCAAUAAGCGGAGGAAAAGAAACUAACAAGGAUUCCCCUAGUAACGGCGAGUGAAGCGGGAAGAGCUCAAAUUUGAAAUCUUAAAGGGUUUCCCUUUACGAAUUGUAGUUUAAAGAAGUGUUUUCUGUUGAGGUUUUUGGUAAAAGUCCUUUGGAAUAGGACAUCAUAGAGGGUGAGAAUCCCGUAUUUGACCUUUACUUUCAACUUUGUGAUACACUUUCAAAGAGUCGGAUUGUUUGGGAAUGCAGUCCAAAAUGGGUGGUAAAUUUCAUCUAAAGCUAAAUAUUGGCGAGAGACCGAUAGCGAACAAGUACCGUGAGGGAAAGAUGAAAAGGACUUUGAAAAGAGAGUUAAACAGUACGCGAAAUUGUCAAAAGGGAAGCGUUUGACACCAGUGUUGUUUUUCUGAAAAUCAAUUAAAGAACUGUUUAUGCUAAGUUGUUUAGACUUUAUCAGCUAACUGUUUAGUUUUGAGCUUUUCUUUAAUGCACUUUUCAGUUAACAAGUCAACAUCAAUUUCUUUUGCUGUAAAAAAGCUUGAGGAAGGUGGCUUGAGAUUCGUCUUAAGUGUUUAUAGCCUCUUGCCUAUGCAGUCGGAGAGAUUGAGGUCUGCAGCGUAGAUCCUUCGGGGCUAAAUGCAUUUGUGCUAAGUUAUAGCAUUUUAUAGACAACUUGUUGACUAUGAUUUGUCUUGUAGCUUACUCGCUUAUGUUAUUUUACCUACGCUUAGGAUGUUGAGUCGUAGAGCACGCAG
rnacentral:rRNA from 1 species